AGCGAACGCCGGCGGCAGGCCUAACACAUGCAAGUCGAACGGAUCCUUCGGGAUUAGUGGCGGACGGGUGAGUAACACGUGGGAACGUGCCCUUUGGUUCGGAACUACUCAGGGAAACUUGAGCUAAUACCGGAUGUGCCCUUCGGGGGAAAGAUUUAUCGCCAUUGGAGCGGCCCGCGUCUGAUUAGCUAGUUGGUGAGGUAAAGGCUCACCAAGGCGACGAUCAGUAGCUGGUCUGAGAGGAUGAUCAGCCACAUUGGGACUGAGACACGGCCCAAACUCCUACGGGAGGCAGCAGAGGGGAAUCUUGCGCAAUGGGCGAAAGCCUGACGCGGCCAUGCCGCGUGAAUGAUGAAGGUCUUAGGAUUGUAAAAUUCUUUCACCGGGGACGAUAAUGACGGUACCCGGAGAAGAAGCCCCGGCUAACUUCGUGCCAGCAGCCGCCGUAA
rnacentral:rRNA from 1 species